UACGGGGGGGGCAAGCGUUGUUCGGAAUUACUGGGCGUAAAGGGCUCGUAGGUGGCCAACUAAGUCAGACGUGAAAUCCCUCGGCUUAACCGGGGAACUGCGUCUGAUACUGGAUGGCUUGAGUUCGGGAGAGGGAUGCGGAAUUCCAGGUGUAGCGGUGAAAUGCGUAGAUAUCUGGAGGAAUACCGGUGGCGAAGGCGGCUCACUGGCUCAUUUCUGACGCUCAGGCGCGACAGCGUGGGGAUCAAACAGG
rnacentral:rRNA from 1 species